UACGAAGGGGGCGAGCGUUAUUCGGAAUCACUGGGCGUAAAGCGUGCGUAGGCUGUCUAGCAAGUUGGAAGUGAAAGCCCUGGGCUCAACCCUGGAAUUGCUUUCAAAACUGCAAGACUAGAGUCCGGGAGAGGAUAGCGGAAUUUCCAGUGUAGUAGUGAAAUACGUAGAUAUUGGAAGGAACACCAGCGGCGCAAGCGGCUAUCUGGACCGGUACUGACGCUGAGGCACGAAAGCGUGGGGAU
rnacentral:rRNA from 1 species